GGGGCUGUGGCUCAGCAGUAGAGUGCUCACCUAGCACAUGUGAGGCCCUGGGUUCAAUUCUCAGCACCUCGU
rnacentral:tRNA from 1 species